rnacentral:rRNA from 1 species
GCACCGGCUAACUCCGUGCCAGCAGCCGCGGUAAUACGGAGGGUGCGAGCGUUAAUCGGAAUUACUGGGCGUAAAGCGCAUGCAGGUGGUUUGUUUAAGUUCAGAUGUGAAAGCCCGGGGCGUCAACCUCGGAAUAGCAUUUGAAACUAGGCAGACUAGAGUACUGUAGAGGGGGGUAGGAAGUUUCAGGUGUAGCGGUGAAAUAGCGUAGAGAUCUGAAGGAAUACCGGUGGCGAAGGCGGCCCCCUCGGACAGAUACUGACACUCAGAUGCGAAAGCGUGGGGAGCAAACAGGAUUAGAUACCCUGGUAG